AAUCCAUAGUGAGGGCAAUCACAUUCAUACUCCUUAAAAUGCUCCCAGGCUUCAUAGAAAGAUUCAGUUGUCCCUUGUUGAAAGGUUGAGAUCUUUGUUCUCAAAUU
rfam:Eutrema salsugineum unplaced genomic scaffold scaffold_2, whole genome shotgun sequence.